rnacentral:rRNA from 1 species
GAUGAACGCUGGCGGCGUGCUUAACACAUGCAAGUCGAACGGAGUGCCCGUGAAAGAGUUUUCGGACAAUGGAUCGGGUUACUUAGUGGCGGACGGGUGAGUAACGCGUGAGGAGCCUGCCUUGGAGUGGGGAAUAACACAGUGAAAAUUGUGCUAAUACCGCAUGAUGCAGUUGAGUCGCAUGGCUCUGACUGCCAAAGAUUUUACUCGCUACUAAGAUCGGCCUCGCGUCUGAUUAGCUAGUUGGUGGGUAACGCCACCAAGGCGACGAUCAGUAGCCGGACUGA